GAUCAAGUCAGCGGUAAAAUUGAGAGGCUCAACCUCUUCGAGCCGUUGAAACUGGUUUUCUUGAGUGAGCGAGAAGUAUGCGGAAUGCGUGGUGUAGCGGUGAAAUGCAUAGAUAUCACGCAGAACUCCGAUUGCGAAGGCAGCAUACCGGCGCUCAACUGACGCUCAUGCACGAAAGUGUGGGUAUCGAACAGGAUUAGAUACCCUGGUAGUCCACACAGUAAACGAUGAAUACUAAUUGUUCGGGGAGAAUGAUCCCUGAGUGAUACAGCGAAAGCGUUAAGUAUUCCACCUGGGGAGUACGCCGGCAACGGUGAAACUCAAAGGAAUUGACGGGGGCCCGCACAAGCGGAGGAACAUGUGGUUUAAUUUGAUGAUACGCGAGGAACCUUACCCGGGCUCAAACGCAGGCUGACGGGUCCCGAAAGGGGCCUUUCUUCGGACAUUCUGCGAGGUGCUGCAUGGUUGUCGUCAGCUCGUGCCGUGAGGUGUCGGCUUAAGUGCCAUAACGAGCGCAACCCCUGUCCACAGUUGCCAGCAGGUAAAGCUGGGGACUCUGUGGAGACUGCCGGCGCAAGCUGCGAGGAAGGCGGGGAUGACGUCAAAUCAGCACGGCCCUUACGUCCGGGGCGACACACGUGUUACAAUGGCAGGUACAGCGGGAUGCCACGGGGCGACCCGGCGCUGAACCCGAAAACCUGUCUCAGUUCGGAUUGGAGUCUGCAACCCGACUCCAUGAAGCUGGAUUCGCUAGUAAUCGCGCAUCAGCCACGGCGCGGUGAAUACGUUCCCGGGCCUUGUACACACCGCCCGUCAAGCCAUGGAAGCCGGGGGUACCUGAAGUGCGUGACCGCGAGGAGCGCCCUAGGGUAAAACCGGUGACUGGGGCUAAGUCGUAACAAGGUAACCGUAA
rnacentral:rRNA from 1 species